rnacentral:tRNA from 2 species
GCCGAUGUAGCUCAGUGGUAGAGCAACUGAUUCGUAAUCAGUAGGUCACCGGUUCAAUCCCGGUCAUCGGCUCCA